rnacentral:lncRNA from 1 species
CGGACGAAGUUGGCCAGCCCCACCCCCCAUGGCUAUAGGCCGACCCGUUUUUGUGGCCUUUUUCCGCUGGACGAACUUGGCGCCCGGCCUUCGGGCGGUUAUUUUUGGGCGCGGAUUUGCCCGCUGCCUAUUUUUGGCACACGGAGGCCCCUUGCAAAUUCUAGCGGCUUUCCGUGUCCGGCGGACGAAGUAGGCCAGCCCCACCCCCCAAGUCUAUAGCCCACCCGUUUUUGUGGCCUUUUUCCGCUGGACGAACUUGGCGCCCCGUCCUUCGGGCGGUUAUUUUUGGGCGGGGCUUUGCCCGCGGCCUAUUUUUGUCACAAGGAGGCCCCUCGUAAAGUCUCGCGGCAUUCCGAGUCCGGCGGACGAAGUCGGCCAGACCCACCCCCCAAGGCUAUAGCCCACCCGUUUUUGUGGCCUUUCUCCGCUGGACGAACUUGGCGCCCCGGGCAUCAGGCUGUUAUUUUUGUGCGCGGCUUGGCCCACGGCNN